rnacentral:snRNA from 1 species
UGCUUUCUCUUCAGUUCGUAUAAAUCUUUCGCCUUUUACUAAGAUUUCUGUGGAAAGGAAUAUUCUU